GUCAAACUGGAAAUCAGCACAUGCCAGUUAACAUUCCUGUGGAGUUUCUUCCAGUUUGGGACACUUUGAUUUUUUUCGCAUUUGUGCUGUUUCCAUGGAAACGGCGGCCAUUUUUUACCAUUCCAUAGCAAGGUGCACAACUUCAGAUGGUGGUCCUCAUUAUAGUAGAGUUCCAUCAACAUUGGUCCAUUGGAUUCCGAGAACACC
rnacentral:lncRNA from 1 species